rnacentral:rRNA from 1 species
GAUGAACGCUAGCGGAAGGCUUAAUACAUGCAAGUCGAGCGGUAGGUGGCUUCGGCCAUUGAGAGCGGCGCACGGGUGAGUAACGCGUACAUGACCUGCCUGUCAGAAGGGGAUAGCCCUGGGAAACUGGGAUUAAUACCCUAUGGUAUUGAUAUUAUGAAUGAUAUCAAUUAAAGUUGAGGCGCUGACAGAUGGAUGUGCGUCUGAUUAGCUAGUUGGUAGGGUAACGGCCUACCAAGGCGACGAUCAGUAGGGGGCGUGAGAGCGUGGUCCCCCACACGGGUACUGAGACACGGACCCGACUCCUACGGGAGGCAGCAGUAAGGAAUAUUGGUCAAUGCCCGCAAGGGUGAACCAGCCAUUCCGCGUGGAGGAUGAAGGCCCUAUGGGUUGUAAACUUCUUUUAGAUGGGAAGAAAUGCUAGAUGUAUCUGGUACUGACGGUACCAUC